UACGAAGGGGGCUAGCGUUGCUCGGAAUCACUGGGCGUAAAGGGUGCGUAGGCGGGUCUUUUAAGUCAGGGGUGAAAUCCUGGAGCUCAACUCCAGAACUGCCUUUGAUACUGAAGAUCUUGAGUUCGGGAGAGGUGAGUGGAACUGCGAGUGUAGAGGUGAAAUUCGUAGAUAUUCGCAAGAACACCAGUGGCGAAGGCGGCUCACUGGCCCGAUACUGACGCUGAGGCACGAAAGCUAGGGCAGCGAACGGGAUU
rnacentral:rRNA from 1 species